rnacentral:snRNA from 1 species
GUACUUAUUUUGGCAGCACAUAUACUAAAAUUGGAACUAUAUAGAGAAAAUUUCCAUGGUUCCCACACAAGGAUGGCACACAAAUUUGUGAAGCAUUCCAUAAAAGA